rnacentral:rRNA from 1 species
AGCGAACACUGGCGGCAGGCUUAACACAUGCAAGUCGAGCGGGCAUCUUCGGGUGUCAGCGGCGGACGGGUGAGUAAGGCGUGGGAACGUGCCUUCUGGUUCGGAAUAACUCAGGGAAACUUGAGCUAAUACCGGAUACGCCCUUUUGGGGAAAGGUUUACUGCCGGAAGAUCGGCCCGCGUCUGAUUAGCUAGUUGGUGGGGUAACGGCCUACCAAGGCGACGAUCAGUAGCUGGUCUGAGAGGAUGAUCAGCCACACUGGGACUGAGACACGGCCCAGACUCCUACGGGAGGCAGCAGUGGGGAAUAUUGGACAAUGGGGGCAACCCUGAUCCAGCCAUGCCGCGUGAGUGAUGAAGGCCUUAGGGUUGUAAAGCUCUUUUAUCCGGGACGAUAAUGACGGUACCGGAGGAAUAAGCCCCGGCUAACUUCGUGCCAGCCGCCGCUGUAA